GCGGCCAGAAUGGUGACCCAGACGAUGAUAGAACUGUGGUGGAGAAACACAGGUGGAUGAGGAACCUGCCUACUCACCCAGUUCCAGCCAGUCUCCCUGGGAAGGCAGCCAUCCUUUUGCCUCUUCUCUAUUGUCACCCACUUCCUAGCACCACAAGAAGUACCAGCAUAUCCACCAGAAGUCGUUUUGCUGCCCUGAGCCGGCUUGUGGGAAGUCCUUCAACUUUAAAAAGCACCUGAAGGAGCAUGUGAAACUACACAGCGAUGCCAGGGACUACAUCUGUGAAUUCUGUGCCCGAUCUUUCCGCACUAGCAGCAACCUUGUCAUCCACAGACGGAUCCACACGGGAGAGAAGCCCCUGCAGUGUGAGAUAUGUGGAUUUACUUGCCGCCAGAAGGCCUCCCUAAACUGGCACCGACGCAAGCAUGCAGAGACUGCAGCUGCCCUGCGCUUCCCCUGUGAAUUCUGUGGCAAGCGCUUCGAGAAGCCAGACAGUGUGGUAGCUCACUGUAGCAAAAGCCACCCAGCCCUGCUCCCAGUACAGGAGUCACCUGGCUCUCUGGGGUCUAGUCCCAGCAUUUCUGCCCCUGAACCCCUGCAAUCUCCCGAGGGGACUAGCUUCUCUACCUCUUAUGACUCUAAUCCUGCCCCCUCAACAUCCAUCUCUUCACCUGGGGUGCCAGCCCCCAGGAACACAGAGAAAAGUUAGGUGGUAGUUCCCAGGGACUAGGAUAUUUGAGUGCAUUUGAGGGUAGGGCAUCACUGGGCUCCAGAUACCAGGCUUUAGCCUUUAAGGAAAUAAUAAAUAUUUUACACAAGUGU
rnacentral:lncRNA from 1 species